rnacentral:ncRNA from 1 species
GCAGAGUAGAUUUCAAAGCGUUAAGUGCUGGGUGAACAGGGAGUUGACACCCGGACGAAAAGGAUCUCAUUAUUAGCUCCAUCCUUGCGGUUUUGAAGUCGCAUCCCGCUGC